GGUCAAGCUACAAAGGGCGCAUGGUGAAUGCCUUGGCACUAGGAGCCGAAGAAGGACGUGAUAAGCUGCGAUAAGCUUUGGGUAGGCGCAAAUAGCCAGUGAUCCAGAGAUUUCCGAAUGGGGCAACCCCCAUAGUUAACACUAUGGACUAUAUACUGAAUACAUAGGUAUAUAGAGGUAAACCCGGGGAACUGAAACAUCUGAGACCCGGAGGAAGAGAAAGAAACACGAUUUACUAAGUAGCGGCGAGCGAAAGGGAAA
rnacentral:ncRNA from 1 species